GUCCCGGCUGUGGCUCCGCCUGGCCCGGCCCCGGCCGCUGCCGCCGCCUCCUCUGCGCGUUCCCCGGGCCGAGCUCCGCCGCUCGGUGCCCGCUCCAGAGGGGGAAGCCGGACCCCGGGAAGGAGAAGGUACCGGGUGAGGUCGCUGCUGGGGACUUGGCCAAGUCAGCCGAAAGUGGCCAGAAAUCCAGAAGUUACUCUGGAGCGGAGGGGAAGCGCUCGGCCCGUCCUCUACACUUCCAUCAAACCAGGAAGGAAGACCAAGCAGCCUGUGACCUGUGACCAGCCACUCUGGGAUGUUUGACAGUGCACCACACUCUGCUUUAGGGUUCCCAGCAGCAGAAGAUGGGUACUCUGGUCAUGCAGUAGAUGGCAUGGUUGAAGCCACCUCUGCUGCUACACAUCUCUACAGUCAGCUGGUUACCUCUGCACCACUGCCUUCCCAUGGGAUUGUGGACAUCCAGUGCUGGUGCCUGGAGGAACAUUUGUCAACACGAUACAAACAUGAUUUGUGCUCCUGCCAGAUCAAGAGGAACAAAUAAAUGUGCAAUGGGACAAAUAAAUAGGAAAGGACUCGGGGCUGCUCUGCCAGGAUAGCCUAAAGUAGUAAAGCACAUGAGAAGCCCCUCAGGGCAGAGAGCAGAGUGGAGUGCCCAGGCCCUGCUUGAAAGCCCGAGAUGAUGGGGUAGGGUGAUAUUCUAUUAGUAAACCACUAAUGACCACCUCUUUGGCAUUUCCUGAAAACUACAGUAGGUUGGCUGGUCCCUGAAGGAGCACUGUGAUGUCAGCAGCCAGAAAUCCUGUGGAACCGGCCAGACUGGCAAAUGCAUGAAAGUCAGCUAAUCUGCUGUUUUAUCACUCCUCCCCCCCAAAUCCCCAUCCACCUCAGGCAUCAGAGGGAAGCUAAUUGACUUGAGCUUCCUUUUUGUGCUCAAACACCUUGGUUGACUUGGUUAUUUUCUUUCACUAUUUUUCAUACAAACAGAUGGGUUUCAAAGGCAGUGCUGGCACAGGUGUUAUGUGAUACAUAUCUGCCAAACAACCAGGGAGAGGCAUUGCUUCACCAGCUGCCUCUGAGUGAUCAGUUUUGCUGCCUCUCCCCACUAACUGGGGUCACAGUCACUGCUAGGAAAGGACAUCAGUUGUUGCUCACCUUCCCUCUUUUCCUUUACCCUCCAAAGCAGAGGAAAAUGGAGAUUUUUGGGCAGCAGGGCCAAUGUGGAGUGGCUUUCCAGGGAAUGCAACCUUAGCAGGGACAUGGCACCAUUCCUUGGAGUGAUUUUGUAGUGAGAAGGGCAGGUGUCCGUGAAAAUAGCUUCCUGGAUGGGAGCUGACCCAGAAGUUGAGGCUCCCAUCUUCACCUUACCUGACCCAAUGAGUGACUCUGAUCCUCAUCCUCCUCCACCCUGCAGAUUUCUGGAUGGGCAUGCUGCCAGACUGUAUUUUCCCUCACCACUUUGGAGACACGGUAUAAACUUGGAGGCAGGUGGGAGGUGCUGAGCUCUUGCCUUGGCAGCAACUGGGACAACCCACUUCCUCAUCCCUGCCAUCUUACUGGUGUGAGAAAAUAGGAGCAGGUUGAACAGAGCUCUUCAAAAGGGCCCCCAUUCUUAAAUGCCCAGGGAGUUUCAGGGAUCUGUGCAGGGAAGGAAGCUGUAGCCCUCCCCACUGGCCUGUGCCAGGGGCAUGCACUGAGCCGAGGACCAGCUGGGCAUCACCUGUGUCCCUGCACCAGACACCCAUGGAAGCAGCUCUCAAAAACCAGUCCAGGGCAAAGGACCUCUGUUGGACCCCAGAGGAAGCACAUGGGGUCUUUCUGUGCUGUGGCGUGCUCUUCAGGUCCCUCCUGGGGAAAAAUUCCAGGCUGGGGGAGUAACUGGGGCAAAACCAAAAGACUGAGGAAGCUGUACUGCAGAACACAUCAGGGUGUUUAUCAUGGUAAUGUAAAGAAGGGUCUGAAGGUCAUGCACAUGAAUAUUUGUAAGAGCAUUGUUGUUUCAUUUUGAUGUAGAACCACAGCAAUAAUAUCCAGCUGGAAUAAAUUGCUCCAAAAUUCA